UAAUACGGAGGAUGCGAGCGUUAUCCGGAUUUAUUGGGUUUAAAGGGUGCGCAGGCGGUUUAUUAAGUCAGCGGUGAAAUCUAGAGGCUCAACCUCUAAACUGCCGUUGAAACUGGUAGACUUGAGUAUAGAUGAAGUAGGCGGAAUUCGUUGUGUAGCGGUGAAAUGCAUAGAUAUAACGAGGAACCCCGAUUGCGUAGGCAGCUUACUAAACUAUAACUGACGCUCAGGCACGAAAGCGUGGGUAUCAAACAGGAUUAGAUACCCUGGUAGUCCACGCAGUAAACUAUGAUUACUAGUUGUUUGCGAUAUGAUAGCAAGUGACUAAGCGAAAGCGAUAAGUAAUCCACCUGGGGAGUACGCCGGCAACGGUG
rnacentral:rRNA from 1 species